AUUGAACGCUGGCGGCAGGCUUAACACAUGCAAGUCGAGCGGGGGGAGGUAGCUUGCUACCUAACCUAGCGGCGGACGGGUGAGUAAUGCUUAGGAAUCUGCCUAUUAGUGGGGGACAACAUUUCGAAAGGGAUGCUAAUACCGCAUACGCCCUAAGGGGGAAAGCAGGGGAUCUUCGGACCUUGCGCUAAUAGAUGAGCCUAAGUCGGAUUAGCUAGUUGGUGGGGUAAAGGCCUACCAAGGCGACGAUCUGUAGCGGGUCUGAGAGGAUGAUCCGCCUCACUGGGACUGAGACACGGCCCAGACUCCUACGGGAGGUAGCAGUGGGGAAUAUUGGACAAUGGGCGGAGGCCUGAUCCAGCCAUGCCGCGUGUGUGAAGAAGGCCUUUUGGUUGUAAAGCACUUUAAGCGAGGAGGAGGCUACCUGGAUUAAUACUCUAGGAUAGUGGACGUUACUCGCAGAAUAAGCACCGGCUAACUCUGUGCCAGCAGCCGCAGUAAGAC
rnacentral:rRNA from 1 species